rnacentral:rRNA from 1 species
AUUGAACGCUGGCGGCGUGCUUAACACAUGCAAGUCGAUCGGUAACGCGGGGGCAACCCUGGCGACGAGAGGCGGACGGGUGAGGAACGCUUGGGAAUCUGCCCUUCAGCGGGGGACAACACGGGGAAACUCGUGCUAAUACCGCAUACGCUCCACGGAGGAAAGCCGGGGACCGCAAGGCGUGGCACUGAAGGAUGAGCCAAAGUCGGAUUAGCGAGUUGGCGGGGUAACGGCCCACCAAGGCGACGAUCCGUAGCUGGUCUGAGAGGACGAUCAGCCACACUGGGACUGAGACACGGCCCAGACUCCUACGGGAGGCAGCAGUGGGGAAUAUUGGACAAUGGGGGAAACCCUGAUCCAGCGACGCCGCGUGGGUGAAGAAGGCCUGCGGGUUGUAGAGCCCUUUCGGUAGGGACGAAAGCUCUCGACCUAACACGUCGGGAGGUUGACUUAACCUACAAAAGAAGCACCGGCUAACUCUGUGCCAGCAGCCGCGGUAAUAC